AUUCCAGCUCCAAUAGCGUAUAUUAAUGUUGUUGCAGUUAAAAAGCUCGUAGUUGGAUUUCUGGUCGGGACGUCUGGCCGGCUCCGCAAGGGGUCGUUGCAUUGACUGUACUCGUCCAUCCUCAGGUUGACUAGCUCUGGUAUUUAUUUAUCGGUGUUAGAACGCCUGUCGUUUACUGUGAACAAAUUAGAGUGUUCAAAGCAAGGUGUACUUGAAUACAUUAGCAUGGAAUAAUAAGAUAGGACUUUGGUGGUUCUUUUUGAUAUUUUGUUGGUUUGCACGCCAAAGUAAUGAUUAAUAGGAGCAGUUGGGGGUAUUCGUAUUCAAUUGUCAGAGGUGAAAUUCUUGGAUUUAUAGAAGACGAACUACUGCGAAAGCAUUUACCAAGGAUGUUUUCAUUG
rnacentral:rRNA from 1 species